AUUGAACGCUGGCGGCAGGCCUAACACAUGCAAGUCGAGCGAGCGGCGGACGGGUGAGUAAUGUAUGGGGAACUGCCCGAUGGAGGGGGAUAACUACUGGAAACGGUGGCUAAUACCGCAUACUAUCGGAUGUGCCCAUAUGGGAUUAGCUAGUAGGUGGGGUAAAGGCUCACCUAGGCGACGAUCCCUAGCUGGUCUGAGAGGAUGACCAGCCACACUGGAACUGAUACACGGCCCAGACUCCUACGGGAGGCAGCAGUGGGGAAUAUUGCACAAUGGGCGCAAGCCUGAUGCAGCCAUGCCGCGUGUAUGAAGAAGGCCUUCGGGUUGUAAAGUACUUUCAGCGGGGAGGCGUUACCCGCAGAAGAAGCACCGGCUAACUCCGUGCCAGCCGCCGCGGUAAUUC
rnacentral:rRNA from 1 species